rnacentral:rRNA from 1 species
GUCCACGCCGUAAACGAUGAGUGCUAGGUGCUGCGGGUAUUGACCCCUGCGGUGCCGUAGCUAACGCGUUAAGCACUCCGCCUGGGGAGUACGGCCGCAAGGCUAAAACUCAAAGGAAUUGACGGGGGCCCGCACAAGCGGUGGAGCAUGUGGUUCAAUUCGACGCAACGCGCAGAACCUUACCUGGGUUAAAUCCACUCGAACCUUGCAGAGAUGUGGGGGUGCUCUUCGGAGAGCGAGUGAGAAGGUGCUGCAUGGCUGUCGU